rnacentral:rRNA from 1 species
UGCAAGUCGAACGGCAGCACGGACUUCGGUCUGGUGGCGAGUGGCGAACGGGUGAGUAAUAUAUCGGAACGUAUCCAAUAAUGGGGGAUAACUAAUCGAAAGGUUGGCUAAUACCGCAUACGCCCUACGGGGGAAAGCUAGGGAUCUUCGGACCUGGCGUUAAUGGAGCGGCUGAUAUCUGAUUAGCUAGUAGGUGAGGUAAAGGCUCACCUAGGCGACGAUCAGUAGCUGGUCUGAGAGGACGACCAGCCACACUGGAACUGAGACACGGUCCAGACUCCUACGGGAGGCAGCAGUGGGGAAUUUUGGACAAUGGGCGCAAGCCUGAUCCAGCCAUUCCGCGUGAGUGAAGAAGGCCUUCGGGUUGUAAAGCUCUUUCGCAAGGGAAGAAGACUUAUCCUCUAACAUAGGAUGAGGUUGACGGUACCUUGAUAAGAAGCACCGGCUAACUACGUGCCAGCAGCCGCGGUAAUACGUAGGGUGCGAGCGUUAAUCGGAAUUACUGGGCGUAAAGCGUGCGCAGGCGGUUUUGUAAGUCAGAUGUGAAAUCCCCGAGCUCAACUUGGGAACUGCGUUUGAAACUACAAGACUAGAAUAUGUCAGAGGGGGGUAGAAUUCCACGUGUAGCAGUGAAAUGCGUAGAGAUGUGGAGGAAUACCAAUGGCGAAGGCAGCCCCCUGGGAUAAUAUUGACGCUCAUGCACGAAAG